rnacentral:tRNA from 1 species
GGAGGCGUCGCAUAGCGGUCUAGUGCGCUUGCUUGGAAAGCAAGUGUACCGCAAGGUACCGCUGGUUCGAAUCCAGCCGCCUCCG